UAUGCACAUAACAUGUAUUAUGCAGCAACACAUACAAAGGAUGCAUCAGCACAAAUCAAGUUCAGUUCCAAAAGGUACACAAGUUGUUAAAGGCAUACAAUGGUAGUUACAACAAGAAAGUAAACUAAAAAUGUUCAAUAAUCAUUUGGAUCAUAAGCUGGAUGUUCAGGCAGCUCAUCAUGAUCUUCAUCUUGAUCAUCUUCAUCUUCUUUGUAUGUAUCAUCAAGUGCUUCUUCACCAUCACCUUCAAUAUUCAAUUUUGACAAAAAUUCCAAAUCCUUAGGAUCAGUUAUCUCAUCUGAAACAACAGGAGUUACAUUAUCUAGCUCAAUAUCCAAAUCAAUGACAAAUGUGCCUUCCAAUCCCUCCUCUUGAAAAAAUGACACUUCUUGUACUAACCCAGUGGGAGGGUUUGAUUCAUCACUAUUGUCAUCUGGGGAACAUAGCCACGUGGAGUAACCAGAUAUGUGACCCACCACUCUUGUAGAUCUGCUCUACUCUUACAGGCAUAAGGUAAAUAAUACACUUGUUUAACUUGACUUGCCAUAACAAAUGGUUCAAAAACAGAAAGCCUAGCAGCAUGCUUAAUUUCCAUCAGACCCAACUUUUCAGUACGCCAAUUCCAUUUGGUGUUGGAUCAGACCAAUCACAAUCAAGCAAAACCAUCUCUAGUUGCAAACUCCCUUCCCAUUUUAUUUUUAUGAUGUCCUUAAUAACACCAUAGUACUCCAUCUCAUUAUUGUCAUCAUCUACACAGGAAACACAAACACCACUAUUAACUGUAGCUAAUCCUGAUUUAGUUCUCUCAUGUUCCUUUGAACGGAAUUUGUACCCAUUCACAUCA
rnacentral:lncRNA from 1 species